UGAAAGGGCGGGGGAAGCAAUCAGUGCAGCCAUGGUUCAGGCAAGCCUUACUGGAGUUGCUGACCAUGAUGAGUUUAAAAAUGUGGGAGCAGCCAGAAGGCAGACACGCUGUGUCCCUAGCACCAUGGAACUGGACAGGAAGGUGGUCUCCACCUGCCAUUUGCUCAGGACACAUGCUGUGUCAGUGGUCUCCUGUGUGCUCUUUUAGUUUAGCUCUGCUGAUCUUUUUAAACCCCCCUAAAGGAGAAGGAAAUGUUUUGUUAACAGGAAGAUGCUUGCUAGGGGUGGAGGUGGGGCGGGGUGCAGUUCCUACAGGGAUUGCUCACAAAGUCAAAGGAGCAGCAAGUGUGUACUUUCAAAAGAGGCUGGCCCCAAGCCCGCCGUGGUGAAGCACAUCUGGGCUCCCCGGCACUCGGUGGCUGAGGAAGAUGCCAAGUUUCAGCCCAGCCCGGGUAACUUUAUAAGCUUGUUGUCCACUUGGAGGAAAAGAGAAGGCAGCCCUGGGGCCCGAGCUGUGGGCCCUGUGGCCAGCUUUCCAGAUGCCACUGUCUCCUGGGCCUGAGCCAGAGUGAGAAGUCUACGGGAGUUCCUGUGGGGUCUGCCCAUUGCCAUUUUGAAGUCUCCUGUCUGAUGAAGAAUGAAGGAAUGCCCAGCACUGUGGCAUGCUGUAAAUUUUUACAUUGAACAACUAGGUACUUUUUAAGAAAUUCAAUGCAAAGCAAUCAUGCUAGUGCUGAGUUAAUGAUUUGUCGUUUUUUUUUUUAAACCAACAUGAACUUAAUUUUAUGAUGAAA